CUAUGGAUGAAGAAGAGCUGAAAAGGUGUCAGAAUGUCCAUGACUACUAUGCGCUUUACAAGGUCUUUAAGAAAAGUGGGCCUGGUCCUAAGAAUAAUGAGCAGUAUGGUGCACCUUUUAGAGAAGAGGACUGGGUUGAUGAUGAAUGUCCAAGUGCCAAAGCCUCUGUUCGCCCGGUUGAUGAUGAAUGCCCAAGUGCCAAGGCCUCUGUCCGCCAAGACACUUCCGCAAAGCAUGUCAACGAAGCUCCUUCUGUAGAUGGUGGACUUGAGGAGUUGUUGAACAAUACUGCAGAUGAGGCUGUGCUUGUUGAGCCACUU
rnacentral:lncRNA from 1 species